rnacentral:rRNA from 1 species
AUUGAACGCUGGCGGCAGGCCUAACACAUGCAAGUCGAGCGGAAACGAGUUAUCUGAACCUUCGGGGGACGAUAACGGCGUCGAGCGGCGGACGGGUGAGUAAUGCCUAGGAAAUUGCCCUGAUGUGGGGGAUAACCAUUGGAAACGAUGGCUAAUACCGCAUGAUGCCUACGGGCCAAAGAGGGGGACCUUCGGGCCUCUCGCGUCAGGAUAUGCCUAGGUGGGAUUAGCUAGUUGGUGAGGUAAGGGCUCACCAAGGCGACGAUCCCUAGCUGGUCUGAGAGGAUGAUCAGCCACACUGGAACUGAGACACGGUCCAGACUCCUACGGGAGGCAGCAGUGGGGAAUAUUGCACAAUGGGCGCAAGCCUGAUGCAGCCAUGCCGCGUGUAUGAAGAAGGCCUUCGGGUUGUAAAGUACUUUCAGUCGUGAGGAAGGUGGUGUAGUUAAUAGCUGCAUUAUUUGACGUUAGCGACAGAAGAAGCACCGGCUAACUCCGUGCCAGCAGCCGCGGUAAUACGGAGGGUGCGAGCGUUAAUCGGAAUUACUGGGCGUAAAGCGCAUGCAGGUGGUUUGUUAAGUCAGAUGUGAAAGCCCGGGGCUCAACCUCGGAAUAGCAUUUGAAACUGGCAGACUAGAGUACUGUAGAGGGGGGUAGAAUUUCAGGUGUAGCGGUGAAAUGCGUAGAGAUCUGAAGGAAUACCGGUGGCGAAGGCGGCCCCCUGGACAGAUACUGACACUCAGAUGCGAAAGCGUGGGGAGCAAACAGGAUUAGAUACCCUGGUAGUCCACGCCGUAAACGAUGUCUACUUGGAGGUUGUGGCCUUGAGCCGUGGCUUUCGGAGCUAACGCGUUAAGUAGACCGCCUGGGGAGUACGGUCGCAAGAUUAAAACUCAAAUGAAUUGACGGGGGCCCGCACAAGCGGUGGAGCAUGUGGUUUAAUUCGAUGCAACGCGAAGAACCUUACCUACUCUUGACAUCCAGAGAACUUUCCAGAGAUGGAUUGAUGCCUUCGGGAACUCUGAGACAGGUGCUGCAUGGCUGUCGUCAGCUCGUGUUGUGAAAUGUUGGGUUAAGUCCCGCAACGAGCGCAACCCUUAUCCUUGUUUGCCAGCGAGUAAUGUCGGGAACUCCAGGGAGACUGCCGGUGAUAAACCGGAGGAAGGUGGGGACGACGUCAAGUCAUCAUGGCCCUUACGAGUAGGGCUACACACGUGCUACAAUGGCGCAUACAGAGGGCGGCCAACUUGCGAAAGUGAGCGAAUCCCAAAAAGUGCGUCGUAGUCCGGAUUGGAGUCUGCAACUCGACUCCAUGAAGUCGGAAUCGCUAGUAAUCGUGGAUCAGAAUGCCACGGUGAAUACGUUCCCGGGCCU